GACGUAGGGCGCGAGCGUUGUCCGGAUUUAUUGGGCGUAAAGCGCGUGUAGGCGGCCUUGUAAGUCCGUUCUGAAAGCCCGGGGCUCAACCCCGGGAGGCGGAUGGAUACUGCAAGGCUCGAGUCCGGAAGAGGCGAGUGGAAUUCCCGGUGUAGCGGUGAAAUGCGCAGAUAUCGGGAGGAACACCAAUGGCGAAGGCAGCUCGCUGGGACGGUACUGACGCUGAGACGCGAAAGCGUGGGGAGCAAACAGGG
rnacentral:rRNA from 1 species